AUGGCAUCGACGCCGCCGCCGCCGCCGGCGGCGAAAUGUCCCUCGGCCGUUCCCACCACCAUACAAGAUCUCGACGACGACGUCCUCCGCGAGGUGUUCAUCCGCCUCCCCGCGCUCCCGAGCCUCGUCCGCGCCGCGCUCACCUGCCACGCCUUCCUCCGCGCCGUCCGCUCGUCCCCUGCCUUCCGCCGCCGCUUCCGGGAUCUCCACCCGUCUCCCUUUGUCGGCCUCUUCAUCCAACGCCUCAUCGAAAAAUGGGAGCCCGGCGUGACUUCCUUUGCCGCCCACCACCGCCGCUCCGACCGGGACUUCGCCGCCGCUGUACGCGGCGGCGAUUUCGCCCUCAACGGCCUCCCGGACCCAGACGACGACAAUGAAGACUGCGGCGACCAAGACAAGGACAGCAACGAGGCGGAGGCGGAGGAGGACAGCGACGAAGAAGUUGAGAACAACGAAGAUGAGGAGGACAGCGACGAAGAAGAUGAGACGGAGGAGGAGGAGGAUCCCUCUCCGGUGUGGGAGAUCGAGCGAUGCAGUGACGGCUACGUGGUCCUCUUUAACCGGAUGGCCAGGCAGAUCGCCGCCUACAACCCUCUCACGCGGGCGCUGCAUCUCUUCCCCUCGCCGCCGGGCAUCUUCAAAAGCGCCUUGACCUUUCAGUUCCACUUAAUCUCCUCGGAAGAGCACCCCGGCUCGCCGCCCCGUGUGGUUUGUUUCUACUGUGGCUACCUUUACGCCUCCGUCGGCGUCAUCUCGCCGGAGAGCACCGAGAUUAAGUGGCAGAUAUUCCCUGAGCCUUUGAUACCGGGGGCAGUGGGAGCCACCGGCAAGAUGGUGAACGGAUCCCUCUACUGGACACACCCAGGGAGACUCUACAUCACCGUGCUCGACACCGCGACGCUGCAGUUCUCUAGAAUGGAACUGCCGCCGCUCUUGGCGGUGGAAGAAGGCAGUAACCGUGAUUGUGAUUUUGUGCUUGGUAAUACCAAGGAUGGGAGGCCCUGCAUCGUCUCCCCGGAUCCGUGGGGUGGUUGUGAGCUCCUAGUCUUUUUCUGGAGACCCGAUGAAUACGACGGUGUUGAGAGGUGGAAGCUGGACCAGGAGUUCAAACUGAAAACGAUCCGUCGGCUCACUGAGAUUGAAGACGAUGCUUAUGUCGUUGUGCAUGUUAUGGAUGUUACCGAUGGAAUCGUGUACAUGCGUACUGCCUAUGACGGGUAUACUGAAGUUCCUCAACUGCUCCUAUCCUUUUGUCUCGAGACAGCCGAGCUGAAAAAGAUCUGUGAAUACGAUCACAAGCUCCAUCCCUACGUCAUGGCGUGGCCUCCUUCUUUGGUAGGAGUACAUGAUAAGGGGCACCCCUCAAAUGAUCAAGCUCUGUCUACCCCGAGCUCCGAAGGAAGCGAUGUGAAGGCUGGAGGUGGCCCAACAGAGCCUGCAGCAUCGGUUCCCAAAGCAUAA
rnacentral:rRNA from 1 species